CAGCAACCUCCAGACAUGAACAAGCUCUUCAUCGUUCUUCUUCUGGUUAGCUGCCUGACAAUGCUGCCUGCCACUGUUGAGGCCUGCCAGUGCCGAUACCAAUGUAAUCUUGCGCAGGAUUCGGACGGGGGACGCUGUGGUUAUAACAAGAGGUGGUGCUGUCGAAGGGGAAGAGACUACCGGGUGCGACGCUAAGAAGUACCGCUUGAAUAUUGCUUUGAUCGUGUGUUAUAAAUUAAAGCGUUGUCA